UACGAAGGGGGCUAGCGUUGCUCGGAAUCACUGGGCGUAAAGCGCACGUAGGCGGAUUGCUAAGUCAGGGGUGAAAUCCUGGAGCUCAACUCCAGAACUGCCUUUGAUACUGGCGACCUUGAGUCCGGGAGAGGUGAGUGGAACUGCGAGUGUAGAGGUGAAAUUCGUAGAUAUUCGCAAGAACACCAGUGGCGAAGGCGGCUCACUGGCCCGGAACUGACGCUGAGACGCGAAAGCGUGGGGAGCAAACAGG
rnacentral:rRNA from 1 species